rnacentral:tRNA from 1 species
CGGAUGUGGCUCAGGGGUAGAGCAUCACCUUGCCAAGGUGAGGGUCGCGGGUUCGAAUCCCGUCAUCCG